UACAUGGGGGUGCAAACGUUGCUCGGAAUUAUUGGGCGUAAAGCGCACGUAGGCGGUUCGUUAAGUCGGAUGUGAAAGCCCUCGGCUCAACUGAGGAAGUGCACCCGAAACUGGCGAGCUUGAGUACGAAAGAGGAUCGCGGAAUUCCCGGUGUAGAGGUGAAAUUCGUAGAUAUCGGGAGGAACACCGGUGGCGAAGGCGGCGAUCUGGGUCGAUACUGACGCUGAGGUGCGAAAGCGUGGGGGAGCAAACAGG
rnacentral:rRNA from 1 species